CUUGGGUUGGGGCAGUGUGCAAGAGAGUAAGACAUGCAGCUGCUCUCCACCCAAGUCCUUUUGUGGGCUGAGAUUUCAGAUGAUUUUUCCUCCUCCUGGUUUAGAGCCAGUCAUUGGCUGAAGGAUUUGCAGGGGGCCGUUUGACUGUGUUUUGUCCGUCUUUCUCUGUCUUUCUUCUUGGAGGUGUGGCUUUGUCACUCACUUCUUGGGUACUCGGAUAAUGUAGAUAAAGUGCUGGCCCACAGCAUAACUUAGGUAGGAAACACAGAACCCCCUUUAUACUUUUAAUGAUGACUGUCUAUAUUCUUAAUAUCUCCUUGAGAAGCAGUGAACUAUUUUCAGCCAGUUUAGAAGAGUUUAUCACUCCCACAAGAACCUUAUGAGUUAACAGGUCAGAGGAAGGAUGUGUCAGCAGAAGCUCAUUUGCAUGUUUCCCACAAUCUUUCCUUUGGCUCAGUUUGCAGACGUCCUAGGCAAGUUGUAGUGUGGGCAUAGCUGUCACUUUCUCUCCAUCACAUCUACCAGAAUCUGUGGGCAAGUCUGGGCUACAUGUAGCUCAUUAUAAACACUGUGCUCGGAUGUCAGAGCCUAUUUUUCCAG
rnacentral:lncRNA from 1 species